rnacentral:ncRNA from 1 species
GGGCUUAUGGUGGAUACCUAGGCACCCAGAGACGAGGAAGGGCGUAGCAAGGGAUGAAAUGCUUUAGGGAGUUCAAAAUAAGCAUAGAUUCGGAGAUUCCCAAAUGGGUCAACCUUUCAAACUGCUGCUGAAUCCAUGAGCAGGCAAGAGACAACCUAGCGAACUGAAACAUCUUAGUAGCCAGAGGAAAAGAAAGCAAAAGUGAUUCCCGUAGCAGCAGCGAGUGAAAUGGGAGCAGCCUUAACCGUGAAAACGGGGUUGUGGGAGAGCAAUACAAGAGUCAUGCUGCUAGGCGAAGCGGUUGAGUACUGCACCCUAGAUGACGAGAGUCCAGUAACCGAAAGAGUCACUGACUUACGCUCUGACUCGAGUAGCAUGGGGCAUGUGGAAUCCCGUGUGAAUCAACAAGGACCACCUUGUAAGGCUAAAUGCUCCUGGGUGACCGAUAGCGAAGUAGUACUGUGAGGGAAAGGUGAAAAGACCCCCCCAUCAGGGAGUGAAAUAGAACAUGAAACUGUGAGCCC